rnacentral:rRNA from 1 species
UCCGUAGGUGAACCUGCGGAAGGAUCAUUACUGAAGGCUACACGCCGACAUUGUGAAUCGCCUCUCGGGGCAUUGCUUGGGCGCCGCCAGGCGCCCGACUUUUAAACUUUUAUGUUUUAUCUCUGACAACCAAGAAAUUUAAAACUUUCAACAACGGAUCUCUUGGUUCUCGCAUCGAUGAAGAACGCAGCAAAGCGCGAUAGGUAAUGCGAAUUGCACACGUGAGUCAUUGAAUCUUUGAACGCACAUUGCGCCAUCAGGUUCUCCUGAUGGCAUGCUUGUUGGAGCGCCGAUCUUUCUCUCACACCACCUCUAGUGUGGUGCGAGGUGCUGCUCCUACCAGGAGUUAAAAGAAUGGAAGUGCACACGUUAGAUAACUCUGUGCAGUUACACUUACAAUCUUUUGGCCCCCAAUCAAGCAAGGCUACCCGCUGAACUUAAGCAUAUCAAUAAGCGGAGGAAAAGGCAUAUCAAUAAGCGGAGGAAAAGAAACCAACAGGGAUUGCCUUAGUAGCGGCGAGUGAACCGGCAAAAGCUCAGAUUUGAAAGCCUUUCGGGGCAUUGUAUUCUGAAGCCUUGGUCCUGGGAACCGAUGUCCAAGUCUUCUGGAAAGGAGCGCCAUGGAGGGUGAUAGCCCCGUACGACAUUGAACCCAUUGUAGGACUUUGGCAUGGAGUCGAGUUGUUUGGGAAUGCAGCUCAAAUGGGUGGUAUGCUCCAUCUAAAGCUAAAUAUCUGCGAGAGACCGAUAGCGAACAAGUACUGUGAAGGAAAGAUGAAAAGAACUUUGAAAAGAGAGUGAAAUAGUAUGUGAAAUUGUUGAAAUGGAAGGGUAGGCCGCUAACCAUGCAGGGUCGUGUCUGGGGGAAGGAUAAAAGCUGAAGAACGUAGCUCCUCGGAGUGUUAUAGCUUCAGUCCAUACUUCCACCCGGGCGCGAGGACCUAAGACUCUGCUAAAUGGUGGUCUACCACCCGUCUUAAACACGGACCCCCGAGGACUGCGUCUUUGACUAGGAUGUUGGCAUAAUGAUCUUAAGUCGCCCGUCUUGAAACACGGACC